UUCCCCCUCCAGCAUCACUACCACAAAUGGUAUGGUCCUUAGCAUCGGGUCCUUUUUGGACCCCCCACUGGUCUUCUCAACAGACUGAAGCUGCUUCAUCUGAUUCCUGAUCCAUCUUGAUCCCUUCAGUGGCUUGUUUUUGUAUCAGCAAUGUAAAACUGGCCCAAAUGGGUUUAAAGUGGUCAGAACUUGCUCUUAACCAGUUCAAAUCUUAUCUCACAAAGAAAAAAUAAGUUCAGUCCAGUUUAAAUCUAUUUUGACCCGUUUAAACUAAUUCUGCAAAACUGGAACCUGAGGUCGGUAAACCCAGGAAGAUGACUGAAGACGAUGCUGAUUUGAACCAAAGCAAGGAAUCAGGUACUUACAGAAGUUGAAACUGAGAUGAAAACUGGAAAAGAAAACAGAUCAAAUAAGACUGGAAAAUACAGGAGCCAGGGUUGAUUGAGUGGAAGCUCAAAAGAGAUUCAGUUCCUACUUCAUCGUGCACCUGUGGCCACCAGAAGCCCUGAAAUGUGGCUGGAGCACUUCUUGUCCAUCUAGACAACUAAACUGAUUUGAUCAUCUUCUGAUUGACCUACAGAACUGGAGUUCAGCAAGAUGAGGACGGGAUGAAUUGGCAAGGGUUUACAAACAUCCCAAAUGGAGCUGAGUUCUGUCUUUCAACACAUAUGAGGAACUUUUCAUCUCACCAGCCAGAGAGAAGGAAAUAUACAAUAUUGGACUUUAGGCCCUAUGAUCUGGGACUUGGCUUCAGAAAACAGUUGAUUCCUAGCAGCUGAUAAAUAAACAAGCUCAAGCCCAGCGAUGAUCAGACAGAGACAUCUUUUUCCUCCCAAGUGAAAGAAAUGUCAUUUAUUUCUUCUCUUCCAAAGGUUCAGAGUACUCUCAACAUCCUGGUCAUAGCCCUGAAACAUCUCAGCCUCUUUCUGCCCCCUCCCCAAAUGUGACACCCAGCUCUGAGCAUCACACUCCAACUUUGCUGUGACAGGACACACGUCACCAGUGGAAACACAGAUCCCCAAAGUUACCAAAUAUUUCUCUCUUGACCCUGUACCUUCUCCAUACCUUGCACACUACUUGGCUUCCUCAGGAGACUAAACAUAUGAGAAUCUCAGGUUGCAUUAAUAAAAGGGCCUAAGAAAUCCCAAGAAGCAUAAGCAUGUGCCAGAAAUGCUGCCACCAGAAAACUUAAAAUUCUGCAGGACACAUGGUACUUGAUUGGCCCACGCUCUGUGUGCUGACAUCAGACCAACAUCUAAGGUAACUAUUUCUUGCAGAAGUUCAACUAGACACCAGAGUGUGUUAUGUACAUUCAAUUUCUAAAGCCCUUAUGGUAAACACAAAGCCUUACAAAAAUAUUGCUUCCUUGACCCAGCCUCUGGCAGUCAUAGAUGGCUCUCCCCAAACAUCAAACUGUGGCA